rnacentral:tRNA from 1 species
AGUAGCUCAGCUGGAUAGAGCAUUCGCCUUCUAAGCGAACGGUCAUGGGUUCGAAUCCCUUCUG